CAACGCCGCGUGGAUGAUGAAGGCCUUCGGGUCGUAAAAUCCUUUUCAACGGGAAGAAACGGACGGUACCGUUGGAAUAAGCGUCGGCUAACUACGUGC
rnacentral:rRNA from 1 species